AGGGGCAAAGCCUGGCACCGCCUCAGGCUCGCCUGAUGGCGUGGCUUGGCUUUCGCCCCGCAAAACAUGAGUAAGAAGCCAUUUUCCAUCGGAAAAUGAGCGGAUUACGAAUGUUUUCAGGAUUGCGGGAGCAUCCUUGCGGAGCAAUCCGUUAU
rnacentral:sRNA from 1 species